GUAAAAAAGAGAAAAGAACAAUAAAAAAAGAAAAAGUCAAUUGGAAAGGACGCUGGACGCUGUGUUUUUCUGAUUUGUUAUGAAAUACGUGCUUUAUUGUUGAUGCGAAAAUUUUUACUGUGCGAAGCGUCUCAAAACAACAAAACAAAACCCGGCGGAAACCGGAAAGGUGUGAGGUGCAAAAUGUGACACACGUCCUGCAGGGCAGAUGCUAUUAUAUGGAGUAAGAGGAGCGAGCAACUACGGCGAGCACGACGCGCAAAGUCCCCUGGGCGCGCCCAGACUUCGGCCGAGAGAGAUAAAGCGACCAUGCUGAAGCUGUCCCAUAAGCCAUCUGACUGUUAAUUACGGCGGGAUCGACCCGUCAACCCCUGCAAGCGCGACGACGACAUAUAGGUUGCGCAAAGGAGGUGGCAGGUCGUUCCAACACCGUGUGGCAGCAAAUCUGAAAGAUC